AUCUUCGGGGCAGGGUGCAAUUCCCUACCGGCGGUGACUGAUUUCAGAAGUCCGCGAACCGCUUCGGCGGCCGAUUUGGUGAGAUUCCAAAACCGACAGUAUAGUCUGGAUGAUAGAAGAUG
rnacentral:ncRNA from 1 species